rnacentral:rRNA from 1 species
GACAGAGGGUGCAAGCGUUGCUCGGAAUUACUGGGCGUAAAGGGCGCGUAGGCGGGAUGGCAAGUCGGUCGUGAAAUCCCUCGGCUCAACCGAGGAACGUCGAUCGAUACUGCUGUUCUUGAGGAUUGCAGAGGAGACUGGAAUUCCCGGUGUAGCGGUGAAAUGUGUAGAGAUCGGGAGGAACACCGGUGGCGAAGGCGGGUCUCUGGGCAAUUCCUGACGCUGAGGCGCGAAAGCGUGGGGAGCAAACGGG